rnacentral:rRNA from 1 species
UGAGGAAUAUUGGACAAUGGGGGCAACCCUGAUCCAGCCAUGCCGCGUGAGUGAUGAAGGCCUUCGGGUUGUAAAACUCUUUUAGAUGUGACGAUGAUGACGGUAACAUCAGAAAAAGCUCCGGCUAACUUCGUGCCAGCAGCCGCGGUAAUACGAAGGGAGCGAGCGUUGUUCGGAAUCACUGGGCUUAAAGCGUGCGUAGGCGGAUAUACAAGUCAGAAGUGAAAUCCCAGGGCUUAACCCCGGAACUGCUUUUGAGACUGCAAGUCUGGAAUUCGGUAGAGGUUAGUGGAAUAUCCAGUGUAGAGGUGAAAUUCGCAGAUAUUGGAUGGAACACCAGUGGCGAAGGCGACUAACUGGACCGACAUUGACGCUGAGGCACGAAAGCGUGGGUAGCAAACAGGAUUAGAUACCCCGGUAGUCC